GGGCGGUGCGGCCUCGGGCUCCCGGGGCCUUGGCGGGGGCCUCCCCGCGCCGCGCUCUCCCAGCCUAGCAGCCCCGCCCCGCCCGGCGGCCCAGGGCCCCUCAGGCCCGCACUGCCGAGGCUCGAACGGCGAACGGGUUCCCGGCCCCGACUUGCUUUGCCCUUGAGGGUCGGGGAGGCCCGAGACUGCCCUCCGGCCGCUCACCAGCUUCCCUUCUCCGCCUCUGCCCGCCCUGUCUGGUCCCCCUGAGCCAGGAGGCCCGGUGGCACCCGGCGCCCAGCCCUCCGGGAGGACCACGCUCGCGCCAUCCGUCGCCCGCAGGACACAGGAGGCAUCGAGAUUGGGGGCGUCCCCACAGCCCCACAGCCCUCGGACGCGUGGUGCCCUUUUCUGACUUAAAACAUUCGUCUUGCACCAGUAUUCACACGAUCGAAGUUUCAGUGUGCCUAGCUUUUCCUCCAAGGACAAAAAUGUGAAUAAAGCAAUAUUUUAGCC
rnacentral:lncRNA from 1 species